rnacentral:misc_RNA from 1 species
GAUGAAGAACGCAGCGAAAUGCGAUAAGUAAUGUGAAUUGCAGAAUUCCGUGAAUCAUCGAAUCUUUGAACGCACAUUGCGCCCCCUGGCAUUCCGGGUGGCAUGCCUGUCCGAGCGUCAUUUCUGCCCUCCAGCCCGGCUGGGUGUUGGGCGCUGUCCCCCCGGGGACACGCCCCAAAGGCAGUGGCGGCGCCGCGUCGGGUCCUCGAGCGUAUGGGGCUUUGUCACCCGCUCGGGACGGACUCGUCGGCGCUGGUCUUCCUCCAGGCGACCCUUCGGGGCUCGUCUUCCUUCGGUUGACCUCGGAUCAGGUAGGGUUACCCGCUGAACUUAAGCAUAUCAAUAAGCGGAGGA